GACGAACGCUGGCGGCGUGCUUAACACAUGCAAGUCGAACGAUGAAGCUGGAGCUUGCUCCAGUGGAUUAGUGGCGAACGGGUGAGUAACACGUGAGCAAUCUGCCCUUGACUCUGGGAUAACUGCGGGAAACUGUAGCUAAUACCGGAUACGACACCUUGGGGCAUCCCAGGGUGUGGAAGGAAUUUCGGUCAAGGAUGAGCUCGCGGCCUAUCAGCUAGUUGGUGAGGUAAUGGCUCACCAAGGCGACGACGGGUAGCCGGCCUGAGAGGGUGACCGGCCACACUGGAACUGAGACACGGUCCAGACUCCUACGGGAGGCAGCAGUGGGGAAUAUUGCACAAUGGGCGAAAGCCUGAUGCAGCAACGCCGCGUGAGGGAUGAAGGCCUUCGGGUUGUAAACCUCUUUUAGCAGGGAGGAAGCGAAAGUGACGGUACCUGCAGAAAAAGCACCGGCUAACUACGUGCCAGCAGCCGCGGUAA
rnacentral:rRNA from 1 species